CGUCGCACCGGGAUGGUCCCAAAGGGCCAGGCUUCGUGGGCACCGCGCCUUCGCCUCGCGGCCGGAGCCACUGCGGAAGGAAAGGUGCUUCCUCAAAAAUAAACCCCCCCGAAGACAACAGACACUACCUGCCCGAUUCAAGAGAUUGCCUCGCUAAAUUUAUCCUGGAUGUCGCACACAAGCCAGGGUCAAUAGGAUAGUCAACACAGGUGGGCGUGGGGUUUGGAGAAAUUGGAGACACUGCAGCUGAAGCCAGGAUGCUUCAAAGUCCUUCAAUGGAUUUAGAGCUCACCCACGUGGUCCAAGAUGCUCUUGUCUCA